rnacentral:rRNA from 1 species
CGUCUAUAUACGUAUAGCAUAUCAAUAAGCGGAGGAAAAGAAACUAACAAGGAUUCCCUUAGUAACGGCGAGUGAAGCGGGAAGAGCUCAAAUUUGAAAUCUUCAAGGUUCUACCUUGACGAAUUGUAGUUUAUAGAAGUGUUUUCUGUUAGUAGAGUGGCAAAAGUUCUUUGGAAUAGGACAUCAUAGAGGGUGAGAAUCCCGUAUUUGGUCAUUCUUUCUAGCUUUGUGAUACACUUUCAACGAGUCGGAUUGUUUGGGAAUGCAGUCCAAAAUGGGUGGUAGAUUCCAUCUAAAGCUAAAUAUUGGCGAGAGACCGAUAGCGAACAAGUACCGUGAGGGAAAGAUGAAAAGAACUUUGAAAAGAGAGUUAAACAGUACGUGAAAUUGUCAAAAGGGAAGCGUUUGACACCAGUGUUGUUUUCUCGAAAAGUCAAUUACAAAUGGUUUGAUUUUUGAGUAGUUAUGACCUUCAAUCGCUUUCUCACUUUCUUUACGUACUUUCUUAAUGCACUUUUCGUUUAACAAGUCAACAUCAGUUUCUUUUGUUGUAAAAGGUAUGAGGAAGGUGGCAUUUCUUUUCGGAGAAAGUGUUUAUAGCCUUGUGCCUUUACAAUCGGAGAGAUUGAGGUCUGCAGCGUAGAUCCUUCGGGGUUAGAUACGUUUGUGCUAAGUUAUAGCUUUUCAUAGACAACUUGUUGACUAUGUUUAGUCUUGUAGCUUACUCGCUGACGCUAUUUUACCUACGCUUAGGAUGUUGAUAGUCACAGCGUGUAC